rnacentral:rRNA from 1 species
UUAUCCUAUGUUCAAUAGUCAUGGGAAACUGCCUCGCUUAUGGCGGGGAGGAAGGAGGGGAUGACGUCAAGUCAGCAUGGCGCUUAUGUCUGGGGCCACACACAUCCUACAAUGGGAAGGAACAACGGGUUGCCAAGCCGUAAGCGGAAGCUAAUCCCAUCAAAACUUCCCCCAGUUCAGAUUGAGGGCUGCAAUUCGCCCUCAUGAAGCCGGACUUGGUAGUAAUCGCGGGUCAGCAGACCGCGGUGAAUACGUUCUCACUCUUU